rnacentral:tRNA from 1 species
GAGGCAGUCGUCUAACGGAAAGGAUGACCGGUCUCCGAAACCGGUGGUGGAGGUUCGACCCCUCCCUGCCUCG